GCGGACCUUUUCGCCGCCUUAAGCAAGCGGGCAUCGGUUUAAGGGAAGGAUAUCCAUUGGCCGUAACGCAAGUGCAACCCUGUACUUGUAUUCACGGUAGUAUCACCGGUGGUGCUGGCGUGAAGCGGUCUAAGCAUGGACCGCACAAUGAAACGGUACUUUUGUAUUGUGCUCGUUGUAUUUGGCGCAUUGUUAACAUCCGGGAAUGGGGGUUGGCGUAUUUUCAACAACUCAAUCACGGUGAUAAUCAACACGUCAGGCAAGUAAGCCCGGUAAGCCGCCCUGCGGGGCGGUUUUCCUU
rfam:Yersinia intermedia ATCC 29909 contig01213, whole genome shotgun sequence.